GGUUAAGCGACUAAGCGUACACGGUGGAUGCCCUGGCAGUCAGAGGCGAUGAAGGACGUGCUAAUCUGCGAAAAGCGUCGGUAAGGUGAUAUGAACCGUUAUAGCCGGCGAUGUCCGAAUGGGGAAACCCAGUGCAAUUCGUUGCACUAUCGUUAACUGAAUACAUAGGUUAACGAGGCGAACCGGGGGAACUGAAACAUCUAAGUACCCCGAGGAAAAGAAAUCAACCGAGAUUCCCCCAGUAGCGGCGAGCGAACGGGGAGCAGCCCAGAGUCUGAAUCAGCUUGUGUGUUAGUGGAACGGUCUGGAAAGUCCGACGGUACAGGGUGAUAGUCCCGUACACCAAAAUGCACAGGCUGUGAACUCGAAGAGUAGGGCGGGACACGUGGUAUCCUGUCUGAAUAUGGGGGGACCAUCCUCCAAGGCUAAAUACUCCUGACUGACCGAUAGUGAACCAGUACCGUGAGGGAAAGGCGAAAAGAACCCCGGCGAGGGGAGUGAAAAAGAACCUGAAACCGUGUACGUACAAGCAGUGGGAGCACCUUCGGGUGUGACUGCGUACCUUUUGUAUAAUGGGUCAGCGACUUAUAUUCUGUAGCAAGGUUAACCGUAUAGGGGAGCCGCAGGGAAACCGAGUCUUAACUGGGCGUUAAGUUGCAGGGUAUAGACCCGAAACCCGGUGAUCUAGCCAUGGGCAGGUUGAAGGUUGGGUAACACUAACUGGAGGACCGAACCGACUAAUGUUGAAAAAUUAGCGGAUGACUUGUGGCUGGGGGUGAAAGGCCAAUCAAACCGGGAGAUAGCUGGUUCUCCCCGAAAGCUAUUUAGGUAGCGCCUCGUGAACUCAUCUUCGGGGGUAGAGCACUGUUUCGGCUAGGGGGUCAUCCCGACUUACCAACCCGAUGCAAACUACGAAUACCGAAGAAUGUUAUCACGGGAGACACACGGCGGGUGCUAACGUCCGUCGUGAAGAGGGAAACAACCCAGACCGCCAGCUAAGGUCCCAAAGUCAUGGUUAAGUGGGAAACGAUGUGGGAAGGCACAGACAGCCAGGAUGUUGGCUUAGAAGCAGCCAUCAUUUAAAGAAAGCGUAAUAGCUCACUGGUCGAGUCGGCCUGCGCGGAAGAUGUAACGGGGCUAAACCAUGCACCGAAGCUGCGGCAGCGACACGAUGUGUUGUUGGGUAGGGGAGCGUUCUGUAAGCCUGCGAAGGUGACCUGUGAGGGUUGCUGGAGGUAUCAGAAGUGCGAAUGCUGACAUAAGUAACGAUAAAGCGGGUGAAAAGCCCGCUCGCCGGAAGACCAAGGGUUCCUGUCCAACGUUAAUCGGGGCAGGGUGAGUCGACCCCUAAGGCGAGGCCGAAAGGCGUAGUCGAUGGGAAACAGGUUAAUAUUCCUGUACUUGGUGUUACUGCGAAGGGGGGACGGAGAAGGCUAUGUUAGCCGGGCGACGGUUGUCCCGGUUUAAGCAUGUAGGCUGGUUAUCCAGGCAAAUCCGGAUAAUCAAGGCUGAGGUGUGAUGACGAGGUACUACGGUGCUGAAGUAACAAAUGCCCUGCUUCCAGGAAAAGCCUCUAAGCAUCAGGUAACAUCAAAUCGUACCCCAAACCGACACAGGUGGUCAGGUAGAGAAUACCAAGGCGCUUGAGAGAACUCGGGUGAAGGAACUAGGCAAAAUGGUGCCGUAACUUCGGGAGAAGGCACGCUGGUGUGUAGGUGAAGUCCCUGCGGAUGGAGCUGAGACCAGUCGAAGAUACCAGCUGGCUGCAACUGUUUAUUAAAAACACAGCACUGUGCAAACACGAAAGUGGACGUAUACGGUGUGACGCCUGCCCGGUGCCGGAAGGUUAAUUGAUGGGGUUAUCCGUAAGGAGAAGCUCUUGAUCGAAGCCCCGGUAAACGGCGGCCGUAACUAUAACGGUCCUAAGGUAGCGAAAUUCCUUGUCGGGUAAGUUCCGACCUGCACGAAUGGCGUAAUGAUGGCCAGGCUGUCUCCACCCGAGACUCAGUGAAAUUGAACUCGCUGUGAAGAUGCAGUGUACCCGCGGCAAGACGGAAAGACCCCGUGAACCUUUACUAUAGCUUGACACUGAACAUUGAGCCUUGAUGUGUAGGAUAGGUGGGAGGCUUUGAAGCGUGGACGCCAGUCUGCGUGGAGCCAACCUUGAAAUACCACCCUUUAAUGUUUGAUGUUCUAACGUGGGCCCCUAAUCGGGGUUGCGGACAGUGUCUGGUGGGUAGUUUGACUGGGGCGGUCUCCUCCCAAAGCGUAACGGAGGAGCACGAAGGUUAGCUAAUCCUGGUCGGACAUCAGGAGGUUAGUGCAAUGGCAUAAGCUAGCUUGACUGCGAGCGUGACGGCGCGAGCAGGUGCGAAAGCAGGUCAUAGUGAUCCGGUGGUUCUGAAUGGAAGGGCCAUCGCUCAACGGAUAAAAGGUACUCCGGGGAUAACAGGCUGAUACCGCCCAAGAGUUCAUAUCGACGGCGGUGUUUGGCACCUCGAUGUCGGCUCAUCACAUCCUGGGGCUGAAGUAGGUCCCAAGGGUAUGGCUGUUCGCCAUUUAAAGUGGUACGCGAGCUGGGUUUAGAACGUCGUGAGACAGUUCGGUCCCUAUCUGCCGUGGGCGCUGGAGAAUUGAGGGGGGCUGCUCCUAGUACGAGAGGACCGGAGUGGACGCAUCACUGGUGUUCGGGUUGUCAUGCCAAUGGCACUGCCCGGUAGCUAAAUGCGGAAGAGAUAAGUGCUGAAAGCAUCUAAGCACGAAACUUGCCCCGAGAUGAGUUCUCCCUGAGACUUUAAGUCUCCUGAAGGAACGUUGAAGACGACGACGUUGAUAGGCCGGGUGUGUAAGCGCAGCGAUGCGUUGAGCUAACCGGUACUAAUGAACCGUGAGGCUUAACCUU
rnacentral:rRNA from 1 species